rnacentral:rRNA from 1 species
CGGGAACUCAGACACAGGUGCUGCAUGGCUGUCGUCAGCUCGUGUCGUGAGAUGUUGGGUUAAGUCCCGCAACGAGCGCAACCCUUGUCAUUAGUUGCCAUCAUUUGGUUGGGCACUCUAAUGAGACUGCCGGUGACAAACCGGAGGAAGGGUGGGGAUGACGUCAAGUCCUCAUCGGCCCUUAUGGGUAGGGCUUCACACGUCAUACAAUGGUCGGUACAGGAGGGUUGCCAACCCGCGAGGGGGAGCUAAUCCCACAAAGCCGAUCGUAGUCCGGAUCGCAGUCUGCAACUCGACUGCGUGAAGUCGGAAUCGCUAGUAAUCGUGGAUCAGCAUGUCACGGUGAAUACGUUCCCGGGUCUU